GGGCGCGCGGCGCGGCCUGGGGGUUCUGCGCGCCCUGGGCCGCCGCGCGGAGCACUUCCCUUGGGACGGCUUCCUGGAGGCGCUGGGCCGCGCAGAGCCCGAGGUGCGGGGCCCCGACGGCCGCCUGGAGCUGGUUCCACUGUUGCUGCGGUUGCCUGGGGUCUGCCGGAAAAACCUGAUGUGCCUGCUGAUGGCUGUUCGACCCUCGUUACCUGAGAGCGGCCUCCGCUCUGUGCUGCAGCUGGCCCAGCAGGACACAGCGUCUUCCCCUGAUGCCUGGCUCCGCGCCCUGGCGGAGCUGCUGCGAAGGGAUGUGGGGCUCGGAGGCCCGGCGGGGGGCACCUCUCCAUUAUCCACAAACUGUCGGUCACAGCUCCGAAACCUGUGCGGGCGGCUGGGCCAGGGCGGGAGGGGCCUGAAAUCAGCCCUGGCUGCAGAUCCUGAGCCAGAGGACAGGCACUCUCAGCUUUGUGGGAAACGGAGCAAGGAGCCAGAGGAAGAGCCUGCCGGCCCUGAGUCAGAGAGAGCCCCUAAGAGGUUCCGGGGUUGUGAGGAGGACUCGGUGGCGGCGGCGGCGGCGGCGGAAGGAAAGGACCAGGAAGAGGGACCCCAGCUGGAGUCCUGGGAAUCCCCUUCCAAAGGUGCAGGAGGUAUACUGCCUGACGCUGAAGCCCAGAUGCCUGAGACCAGCCCCGGUGCUGAGGAGGCCGAGGGUCCAGCCCAGACUGUGGAGUUGCCCGAAGUUGUCCAGGACCAGGUGCCCAGGCUGCAGGAGCUGCUGAAGGCCUUCCAGGAGGGCCUGGAGGGCUUGGAGGAGCAGCUCUCAGUGGACCUGCAGUGUCUCCAUGAGUGUAGUCCCAGCCAGAUGGAGGUGCUCUGCAGCCAGCUGCAGCUGCCCCAGCUCCCCGACGGAGGCGUCCUGCAGCUCUGCAGCCGCCUGCUGGGUCUCACGCCAGCCCUCAGCAUCGCCAGCGCCUCCGUGCUGGCCAGGAGCCUCUUUCUGGACCGGAUCCUCUCGCUGCCGGCCUCCGCCUCCAGGCUGCUCAGAGCUGCCCUGGUCUCCUUCUGCGUGAAAUACACCUACGCUGUGUGCAAGGCUGUGCUCUGUCCCCUGCUCCAGGACCCGGGCGUAGGUCCCGCCCAGACCGAGUUACUGUGUUCCCUUAUGAAGGAUGGGUCUCUAGAGCCGGACAUGCAGCUCCAGAUCCUGGGGCAGGUCCUGGAGCUGGCCUGGCGGGAGGAGACCUUCCUGGUGUUGCAGGCGCUGCUGGAACGGCAGGUGAGCGGGCUGCCUGAGAGGGCUUCGCUGUGAGGCAGGCCGCCAUUACGAUAUUAUUCUUGUCACUUGUUAUCUUGAGACAGGGGCUCAUGUAAUCCGGGCUGGCUUUGCACUCACAGUGUAGAAACAUGGCUUGUCUCCCCCGACCCCUGUUCUUUCACGAUUGGUGUAUGAUACCAUUCCUGGAUCCUGUCAUUUUUUUCAUCUUAGGUAACUAGUUAAUUACCUUUUUUGCUGUGAUAAAUUAGCUCACAAAGUCAACUUGAAGAAGGAAGACUUGGCCAUCUCUAACAUGAACUCAUAGGCUGCCUCUUUGAUCACCUCCACCUGACGGGGGGAGCAGCCUUACCCAUCCACAGAGAAAGACAAAGAAGCCAGUCCUGUUAGACUAGCGUCAGAUGGAAGGGGAGGAGGACCUCCCCUAUCAGUGGACUGGGGGAGGGGCAUAGGAGAAGAAGAGAGAGGGAGGAAGGGUGGGAUUGGGAGGGGAUGGGAGAGGGGGCUACAGUUGGGAUACAAAAUGAAUAAACUGUAAUUAAUAAAAAUUUUAAAAAAGGCAGGCUUGGUUUUGGCUUCCAGCUUAAGGAUACAGCCAGUCAUGUUGGGAGAGGCGUGGGGGGUCAGAGGCUGAGGCUGCUGGUUCCGUGGGGUCCGCAUACAGAAACUGAAGAGGACCCCAGCCCGAGGGAUGGUGCCUCCUGCCUUUAAGGAGGACCUUCCUUUAAUGGAGCCUUGCAGGUGCCCUCAUGGACACGCCCACGGGUGCAUUUCCAUGGGGACUGGAAAUCUGUCUAGUUGGCGGAUGAAGGUGGAGCAUCACAGUGGCUGACUGGCUGUUCCUGCCCAGGUCUCCUUCUCUGAGAGUGUGGUGAGAUUUCAAGAUGGCAGGUGUGAGGUGCUGACUGCCACCUCAUGCUGAUGAAGAGCUGGCGUGUCCCUCAGGACCUCCCUCCCUUCAGUCAGGCUUCAACCACUGAGGCAGGCUAGAGUCCCUGGCUCCCCCGUGGCCCUGGUCUGAGCAAGGGCAGUGAAGCCAUGGCUAUGCUGUCUCGUUUGUCUUCUUCACAGCCCUCAGUUACUUUGAGUUCUGUUGUCCAGUUGUGGAGAUGGGGCUUAACUUGGUGUGUUAGCAUCCCCUUACUGUGACAAAAUGCCAGAGGCAAAAAGCAGGGAGAAAGGCUGGCAUGGCUUCACAGUUCAGAGUUUCUCCCUGUUGUUGGCUCCUUUGCUCCUAGGCCUGUUGGAGGCGCCAACAUGGAGGGAGGAGCAUGUGAUAGGUAGGCUGCUUGGAUCGUGGCAGCUGAGAAGCAGAGGGAGAGCAGGGACCAGGUUACCACUGCCCCCUUUAGACAAACCCCAGUGGCCUGUAGGCUGCGCCAUCUCCCAGCACCUCGCCCUGGGACCACGUCUUCAGCACUUGGAUUUGUGGAGGAACAUUCUAGAGCCAUUCUAGAGAACUCUGUUCAGCUAUCUGCUAGGAAAUGGAGAGCUUGGGUUUGAACCAGGGCUGCCUUUGUGUCACUGUCCCAUGUCCCAAUGUGUGCAGGUGGAGAUGACCUCUGAGGUGUUCAGUGUCUUGGUGCAGAGGCUCUGCAAAGAGGGACCCACAGCCACCACCUCCAUGGCCUAUGCCAAGCUGAUGCUGACAGUGAUGACCAAGUACCAGGCCAGUAUCACAGAGCAGCAGAGCCUGGA